CCCCUCUCAGGAUCGCACCCGGAGAGUUUCCGGUACUCUACCCGUCUCGACUAACGGAGGGAGAGUCAAGCAGAGGCCUACUCAUUCCAUUCCUGGCUUGGGGAGUGACUAGUGAGUGGAAGGCAAUCCGCUACAAGU